rnacentral:rRNA from 1 species
UACGUAGGGGGCAAGCGUUGUCCGGAUUUAUUGGGCGUAAAGAGCGUGUAGGCGGCCUGGCAAGUCCGCUGUGAAAACUCGAGGCUCAACCUCGAGACGUCGGUGGAAACUGCCUGGCUAGAGUCCGGAAGAGGAGAGUGGAAUUCCUGGUGUAGCGGUGAAAUGCGCAGAUAUCAGGAAGAACACCCGUGGCUAAGGCGGCUCUCUAGUACGGUACUGACGCUGAGACGCGAAAGCGUGGGGAGCAAACAGG